rnacentral:sRNA from 1 species
ACUUUCUGCGAUAUUUUGGAGGGGGUGACUCGUUAGUGAGGAAACCACCCCCAUCCCUAAAUCAAAGCGCGAGGCUGGUUCCCAACAGCGCUGUCCGAGAGACACUUUGAGAGAGACACGACACGGAGCUGCGCCCUCCAUGGGUGGCUUGGGGGGAUUCUGCGAGCCGGAGCUGUCCCCCUACUCUCCUCAGGGAUUCGUUGGUUCGCGCCAGCGCCUUUUAAGGGCACCGUGGGGCGAACGGAGCGCUCAGAGCUGCUCCGGCCGCGGCCCUAGGAGCUGGAGGAGCCGCGCCUUUGCCUGAUCAUGCAGACAUCUCCAACUGUGGGAACCCUUUCCAGCUUGUGUCUGAAGGUGCUUCCUGGAGGGGCCUGCCCCACUGUUCCUGUGCUGAGUUCCAGGACAGCCUCAACUUCAGCUACCAUCCCUCAGGCCUGAGCCUGCACCUCAGACCACCCAGUCGGGGAAGCUCCCCCAAGGAGCAGCCCCUCUCCCAAGUCCUAAGACCUGAGCCCCCAGAUCCAGAGAAGCUUCCUGUGCCCCCUGCCCCUCCAUCCAAGAGGCACUGCCGCUCACUCUCAGUGCCCGUGGACCUGUCUCGCUGGCAGCCGGUGUGGCGGCCCGCCCCCUCCAAGCUGUGGACUCCCAUCAAGCACCGGGGCAGUGGUGGAGGGGGUGGGCCGCAGGUGCCUCACCAGAGCCCCCCGAAGCGGGUCUCCAGCCUCAGGUUCCUCCAAGCUCCCAGUGCCUCUUCUCAAUGUGCCCCAGCCCA